GACGAACGCUGGCGGCGUGCUUAACACAUGCAAGUCGAACGGAAAGGCCCUGCUUUUGUGGGGUGCUCGAGUGGCGAACGGGUGAGUAACACGUGAGUAACCUGCCCUUGACUUUGGGAUAACUUCAGGAAACUGUGGCUAAUACCGGCUAGGAGCUCCUGCUGCAUGGUGGGGGUUGGAAAGUUUCGGCGGUUGGGGAUGGACUCGCGGCUUAUCAGCUUGUUGGUGGGGUAGUGGCUUACCAAGGCGUUGACGGGUAGCCGGCCUGAGAGGGUGACCGGCCACAUUGGGACUGAGAUACGGCCCAGACUCCUACGGGGGGCAGCAGUGGGGAAUAUUGCACAAUGGGCGGAAGCCGGAUGCAGCAACGCCGCGUGCGGGAUGACGGCCUUCGGGUUGUAAACCGCUUUCGCCUGUGACGAAGCGUGAGUGACGGUAAUGGGUAAAGAAGCACCGGCUAACUACGUG
rnacentral:rRNA from 1 species